UACGAAGGGGGCUAGCGUUGUUCGGAAUCACUGGGCGUAAAGGGCGCGUAGGCGGCCGAUCAAGUCGGGGGUGAAAGCCUGUGGCUCAACCACAGAAUUGCCUUCGAUACUGUUUGGCUUGAGACCGGAAGAGGUAAGUGGAACUGCGAGUGUAGAGGUGAAAUUCGUAGAUAUUCGCAAGAACGCCAGUGGCGAAGGCGGCUUACUGGUCCGGUUCUGACGCUGAGGCGCGAAAGCGUGGGG
rnacentral:rRNA from 1 species